ACAAUAUAUGAAAGUAAUGAGAAAGUGGCCACUUUCAUGAUUAAAUCAUAUAAGUUUUUACUAUUUCUUUUCCAUAUGGGUAACCACUAAUUGCCAAUAAUCAACAGGGACCAAAGAAGCAUUUACAAUCUACUGAAUGGAGAAUCACAGUGGUCUGUGUAAAUACCUUAAUCGGUAUCUUUUCAAAUAUGAGCUACAUGGUAAUCUCUGAUCUUUUGAAGUCUUGCUUGAUCUUUGAUUUUAUUGGUUAUUGUGUCACUGGUCACUUUAAAAGGCUCUCCGUCCCUCGAAGCAGUUCAGAUGUUAAGGUCGUCGAGAUUGCACUCCAAUAAGGAUAUGCAUUGUUUUUAGUUUUGGUAAACUGAUCAAAUUUUAAAGGAUAAGUGCGCCUCUCGGUCAACAGCAUCUCACCUGAAACAGUUUACCUCAUUUCACUAAAUUAUAGCCAUAUACUAAAAGGUCAAACAUUACAAAAGAAAUCACCCAAGCCUUUAUGAUUUGUGAUGGACUGACAUAAACGACAGCCAUAAUACAUCUCAAGAUUACUUCACCUUGUAUUUAUUGAUUGUACAUUUAUAUAUUUGUAUAUAAAGCUGUAAUAUAUUUUGGCAGGC